rnacentral:rRNA from 1 species
AGUGAACGCUGGCGGUAGGCCUAACACAUGCAGGUCGAACGGCAGCACAGUAAGAGCUUGCUCUUACGGGUGGCGAGUGGCGGACGGGUGAGGAAUACAUCGGAAUCUACUUUUUCGUGGGGGAUAACGUAGGGAAACUUACGCUAAUACCGCAUACGACCUACGGGUGAAAGCAGGGGAUCUUCGGACCUUGCGCGAUUGAAUGAGCCGAUGUCGGAUUAGCUAGUUGGCGGGGUAAAGGCCCACCAAGGCGACGAUCCGUAGCUGGUCUGAGAGGAUGAUCAGCCACACUGGAACUGAGACACGGUCCAGACUCCUACGGGAAGCAGCAGUGGGGAAUAUUGGACAAUGGGCGCAAGCCUGAUCCAGCCAUACCGCGUGGGUGAAGAAGGCCUUCGGGUUGUAAAGCCCUUUUGUUGGGAAAGAAAAGCAGCAGGUUAAUACCCCGCUGUUCUGACGGUACCCAAAGAAUAAGCACCGGCUAACUUCGUG